AAAAUUUCUAAGCCUUUAUUGCAUAUUAAUAAAACAAAUCUUUGAAUAUACAGCAAUGUAAAACUUUUAAAAAUAUUAAAUUCCUAUAACUAGGGACCGUUGGUAUGAAGAAGGGAUGAUGAGCACUGGUACAGAGCACUCUGUACCAACACACAGAAUUUACUGUUCUGCAAAUGACCAAUAGUAAAAAUUUUAAAGAUGGCACAAUCCUAGCAGGCAAUCUUUCUUUUGUUUACAAGAUACAACAUUUUAACAGUUAUUUAAAUGUAAUCCUGAAGCAGCCUGCAAAUUUUACCUUUUGCUUUUAGUUCUGUCAGUGUGGUCCCUAUCUUUGUGGUACCUAUCCCUGUCCUUUUCUCCUUCUCUGUGUUUACUUUUCUCUCGUUCUUUGUCCUUCUCAUAGUCUUCACUUUUAGGUUUAUCUGGCUUCUUGUCUACAUUCCUACUAUCUCUGCUUGCUUUUCCAUCUGUUCCUCGAUCACCAUGUGAUAACCGUGCCCUCUCUUUAUCUUUGUGCCCUUCCUCCCUGCUUUUUCUGUCUCUGUCCUUGUCUUGGCUUCUGUCUCUGCGUCUAUGCCUUUCAGAUUCUUGCUCCCAUUCCUUUUCAUGUCGCUCUCUUUUCAAAUGGUGUGAAUCACUAUAAAAUCUCUGGCGGUCCCCUUUACCCCUAUUAAAUGGCCUAUCCAGUUGCUGUUGGUCUUGCCUACCCCAAGGGUCACUAUGGCGCCUUUCUGGCCUCCGAAUGUCUUUAACCUGGUAAAAAUUCUGCGGGCCUAUAUACCUUGAUGCUUGUGAGAGAGGACCCAUCAUACGCUGUGGCUGACCUGGGAGAUGAACAACAGGUGGCCAGGGAACCAUGGGAUUUUGAGCAAAGCCAAAGCCUGGAGGGGGAAGUAAUGGAGGUGGCAAAUGUGGUGGAAAUCCAAACAUGCUUUGUGGGGGAAAAUUAGGAGGCCCUGGAAAUGGAAAUCCAGGUGGGCUAGACUUGAGAUGCUGAAGGUUGGGCUGCUGUGGCCUCAUGGGUGAAAAGUUUGUACUUGUUCUGGGGCUGGUGCUUCUGGAAGUAAAGGUGAUGCUUUUAGAAGGAAAUUCUGAUGGACAUGUGUUUCCAACUUCAAAAUGAGAUGUCGCUACUGCUGAUCCUCUUCGAAAUGGGUGCACAGUUUCAAUAUUUUGCAUUAAAAUAUCCUCCUGUAAGGGUUUUGCUUGUUCUGCUUGAGAAGUCUGUAUGUUUUCUACUGAUGGUGAGUUUUGUGCAACUUUUAAAUUGUCACUCUGCUGAACACACGAGUUUUUCUCUGCAGAACACAACUUUUCCUCUACAUUGAUUUGUUCUGUUAAGUGCUCCUUGUUGUGUGACAGGCCAGGCAGCAUGUGUUUUUCUCCAUUCCGGCAACUAUCUCCAUCUUUGCUUUCUGAAGUAGUUACAGGCUGACUUCGUCCUGCUGCUUGCCUAGGAUCCCUUUUCAGGUUGAUAAACUGUGGAGACCUCGCUGUAUUAGCAACAAGGUUUUCACUACAGCUCACAUUACCAUCUAUGUUUCCUUUUCCUACAUUAGAUCUGCAUGGAGAACUAUUUGAAGUCUGGUUAUCUUGCAAAUUAUUCUCUUGAUCUUCCUGAAGCUGUCUUUUUAAUGUUUUCUCUUUACUCUCCACAGUUUCCUCUUGUUUUGACUGAAUUGAUAAAUUUGUUAAAAAUGCUUCUGUAGAAACAUCUGGUGGCUUACCUCUGAGACUAAGACUCGUCAAAGACCCUGCAGAAAUGGAAGAGGACCCUACUACUGAUGUUUCUAUUUCUGCUGACUUAUCUGUAGAUUCUGAAAUAUUAUCUACUUUAACUUUUAUCUCCUUGUUUUCACCAUCAGUUACUUCCACAUUAUCUGUUUUCUCUAUUUUUGAGUUGGUCUGCUCAUUUAAAAAUGGAAUUUCUUUAACAGUGUUUUGUUCCAUCACUGACUGGGCCUGGUCAUAUACUUGACCAGUGGUGCCCAAAAGGCUUUGAAGUAUAUCAUCCACAGGAAGAGGUUUAUUUGCUAAUUCCAGAGUAGUAGGUUGAUUCUCCCAGGUUUUUUCAGUUUCAGUUUAUCCUCUUCCUUAAAAUGCUCAACGCCUGGGUGUUCAAGCUCUUCCUUCACGUGACUAUUGGUUUUCAUUGCUGGGGCCUGUUGCUGAGGCUUAUGACACUGUUUCUGGCUAGAAUGUGAUACAUGUCCAGUUUGUGCAGGAUGAUGAGGUUCUUUCAAGCAACCAGGAUGAGCGUGUGACUUAUCACUCAAAGAAUGAGUUAAGGGCUUGAAAAUUUGUACUAAAGUUUGAUCCUGUAAUGUUUUUUUCAGUACAGAAUGAGCUUGGUUUUUCACAGAUUUAACCCCAGAAUUGCAACUCUGAAUCUUUGGCUCCUUAUCAAUUUGUUUU
rnacentral:lncRNA from 1 species